rnacentral:RNase_P_RNA from 1 species
GGAGAAGGGCAGACAGGCGCGGACGACCGCACAAGGUCGCACUGAGGAAAGUCCGGACUCCGUGGGCGGGAUGCUCGCUAACGGCGAGGUGGUGCGAACCACGGAAGGGCCAUAGAAACGGAAACCGCCUGAAAACUCAAGUUAUCUUGAGUGAGUAGGGCAAGGAUGGAAAGGUGAGGUAAGAGCUCACCAGCAGUGCAGUAAUACACUGGCUUGGUAACCCACAUCUGGAGCAAGGUCAAGCAGGGGUUGGGUAGCUCCACCCUAUUCCCCGGGUAGACCGCAUAGACAGAUGCCUAUCUAUUACAGAAUCCGGCUUACAGCCCUUCUCCAUUU